rnacentral:rRNA from 1 species
UACGAAGGGGGCUAGCGUUGUUCGGAAUUACUGGGCGUAAAGCGAGUGUAGGCGGUCCUCUAAGUCGGGUGUGAAAGCCCCGGGCUCAACCCGGGAAGUGCACUCGAAACUGGAGGGCUAGAGUAUCGGAGAGGUUGGUGGAAUUCUCGGUGUAGAGGUGAAAUUCGUAGAUAUCGAGAGGAACACCGGUGGCGAAGGCGGCCAACUGGACGAAUACUGACGCGAGACUCGAAAGCGUGGGGAGCAAACAGG